UGAGGAAUAUUGGUCAAUGGGCGGGAGCCUGAACCAGCCAAGCCGCGUGAGGGAAGAAGGCCCUAUGGGUCGUAAACCUCUUUUGUCAGGGAACAAAAGCGAGUAUGUAUACUGGUCUGAGUGUACCUGAAGAAAAAGGCAUCGGCUAACUCCGUGCCAGCAGCCGCGGUAAUACGGAGGAUGCGAGCGUUAUCCGGAUUUAUUGGGUUUAAAGGGUGCGUAGGCGGCGGUGCAAGUCAGCGGUAAAAGCCCGGGGGCCUCAACCCCGGCGAGCUGUUGAAACUGCAGUGCUAGAGAAGGCGAGAGGUACGCGGAAUGCGCAGUGUAGCGGUGAAAUGCUUAGAUAUUGCGCAGAACUCCGAUUGCGAAGGCAGCGUACUGGCGCCUGACUGACGCUGAGGCACGAAAGCGUGGGGGAUCGAACAGGAUUAGAUACC
rnacentral:rRNA from 1 species